UAUAUUUUAGUGUAUGAUGCACAAUAGUUUUUGAUACUUUUAGUAAUGGUUUGAUUCCAUUAAAUAUAA
rnacentral:tRNA from 1 species